GGGGCGGAAGCUCAGAGGUAGAGCGCCGGAAAGGAUUCCGGAGGUCACGGGUUCGAAUCCCGUCCGCCCGG
rnacentral:tRNA from 1 species